CAAAAGGUUCCAUUUGUAGAACAACCUUUUUAUUCAUAACGUCAUUUCCAGUAAUUUUAAUUUACUCAGUUCAUAAUCAACAGACAAUUGAUAAUCAAGUUUGACUACAUUUAGUACAACAUUCUGUAAAUAUAUUUAAAAUAAUAAAUAUUUCUAAUAAGAGGUUAUAAAAAAAAUCUCUGGAUUAAAAAUCGUUUUCCUGGAAAAAAACAUGAGGGACUUUGAAUGUCAUAUCAUUUUCAUUACAAAAAAAGUUACGUGAUGAAGAUACAAUUUGUUUGUGAUUACUAACCACAAAUAUUCUCAGUGGAACAAUUUUGUUUUACGAUGCAUCAAAAGAUUACAAAUUUUAUCGAGCUAAAGGCUUUAAGUUGCUUAAACUUUUUGAAAAAUGUAUGAAUAAAAAAAACAAUUUUUUUUGGAAAUACUUAAGAUACGUCCUUUUUAUUUGGCAUAUUUAUAAAAUUCGAUACUUUACCUACCUACAAAAAGUGGUUAAAAAUAGAAACUUUUGCAUAGAAGAUUAACUUUUGAAAAUGAUACAGAAAUUCUGAUUCUUUUAAAUAUACAGAGUGAUCAAAUGUUUAUUAUAGACAUUUUAGAAAAAUUAGUUCAGUAGGUGUUGAGAAUAAGUGGAAACAGACAUAGACAAAAGAAAACAUCAUGGUAAAAUUAAUACCUCACAGCUUUUCAUUGAAGCUAAAAUCGAGCAAGGACUGCCUAAAUUAUAUAUUUAAUAUUUAAUAGGAAAUGUAAUAAAUAUUUUUAUCAU